rnacentral:rRNA from 1 species
CGCGUAGGCGGCUCUGUAAGUCCGGAGUGAAAGUCCAGCUUUUAAGGUUGGAAUUGCUUUGGAAACUGUGGGGCUUGAGUGCGGAAGAGGUAAGUGGAAUUCCCAGUGUAGCGGUGAAAUGCGUAGAGAUUGGGAGGAACACCAGUGGCGAAGGCGACUUACUGGGCCGUAACUGACGCUGAUGCGCGAAAGCGUGGGGAGCGAACA